GCGCAGCGAGUGGGGAAAUCCUAUGCCGCCUGUGAACCUUCCCAUUAUGUUCGUUUCUUGUCUAAAAUAUGAGACUUAGGUUUUCAUUGCUUCUGUUCACUUCAGAAGAAUGAACAGAAAGCACUCGCCACCCUUUAACCUAAAUCAAAGUAUAAGCCAACAUUUCUAACAAGAGUACGGAUUCUUUCUUACCUUUGGAGUCCACGGACCCUUAAAAGGUGGAAUUCAUGGUGGAUUCUUUUGAUGGGGAUUUUCCUGCUUUGAAAGGAAAUAAUAGGACGUUUUCAAUGUGGAACAAGGCUGAGGUUCUGACUGCUGGCCUAAAAGAACCAGGAUUCCCCCAGUUGGACUCUCACAUACCUGUGGACCUCAAGUGCUCCUUCAUAUGUGUUUUCAAUGAACUUCAUCCAAACCACAUCAAAUGGCUGUGUAUAACACUAAGGAAAUGUCAUAUUGUCUCCUAGUCCUCUACCAUGUCUUUUACACACACUGAAGAUCAUGUGAAGAAAGAGAGAAGAUGGUCAUCUAUACACCAAGUUAAACGACCCUCAGAAGAAACCAACCCUAUGGACAACUUGAUCUUGAACUUCUAGCUUUCAGACCUCUAAGCAGAAAUUCAACCAAGUAACUG
rnacentral:lncRNA from 1 species